UACGUAGGGUGCAAGCGUUGUCCGGAUUUAUUGGGCGUAAAGCGCUCGCAGGUGGUUCAUUGCGUCGUGCGUGAAAGACCCCGGCUCAACUGGGGAGGGUCGUGCGAAACGGGUGAACUAGAGGCCAGUAGGGGGAUGCGGAAUUCCGGGUGUAGUGGUGGAAUGCGUAGAGAUCCGGAGGAACACCAGCGGCGAAGGCGGCAUCCUGGACUGGUCCUGACACUCAGGAGCGAAAGCGUGGGGAGCGAUCCGG
rnacentral:rRNA from 1 species